GUAUCAAUAAGCGGAGGAAAAGAAACCAACAGGGAUUGCCUUAGUAACGGCGAGUGAAGCGGCAAGAGCUCAAAUUUGAAAUCUGGCCUUUGGCCCGAGUUGUAAUUUGGAGAGGAUGUUUCGGGCACCGCCCAGGCUUAAAUUUCUUGGAACAGAAUGUCAUAGAGGGUGAGAAUCCCGUCUGGAGCCGCGGUAGGACCCAUGUGAAACUCCCUCGACGAGUCGAGUUGUUUGGGAAUGCAGCUCAAAAUGGGUGGUAAAUUUCAUCUAAAGCUAAAUAUUGGCCAGAGACCGAUAGCGCACAAGUA
rnacentral:rRNA from 1 species